AAGAGGUGUAGUAUGAAGCGUGGGAUGGUGUGCAUGUAGCAGAGCUGUGUGUGUGUGUGCAUGUAGCAGAGCUGUGUGUGUGAAACUAAGAUACAGAUGUCAGAGCAGCAGAGCUCUGUGUGUGUGAGGUGCAUGUAGCAGAGCUGU